GAAGAGAUUAGGUUUUUUUUAGGGUUGAUUUGUGAGUUUCAAAUGUCUGCUGAUUUUAGGCUUAAUUUAGCUUUUAUUUGACUAAAGAAACGACGUUGUUCAGAGCCUGAGCAGUGGCCAUGAUACGGCGCCAUUUAGAGGCUCAAACCCGAUGACCCGACCCAAGCAUGGCAAGAUCCGCGUGUUCUGACAAAGGGGGAGGGAUAUUUGCAUGAUUAAUCCAUGUAUUUUCUGAUGUUUUUUAUCAUUUUUUUUACCUUUUAAAUUUAGUUCAGUAUUUUGCUAUUUGUUUUACCUUGGUCCAGUAAUGCAUUUAAUUCUUUUUUUAAUUUUCCAUCCCAUAAAUGCAUCUAUUUUAAAUCUAAUCUUGUUUUACAAAUCAA
rnacentral:lncRNA from 1 species